GGUACCCCUACAGUAAAGCUAUGCGACUUUGAUAUGGCAAUACCCCUUCGUUCAUACUUACAUACUUGCUGCAUUGCCCAUGUUGGAAUUCCUCCACCAGAUGUUUGUGUUGGUACACCUCGUUGGAUGGCUCCUGAGGUCUUUCAGGCGAUGAAUAAGCGCAAUAUCUAUGGGUUGGGUGCUGAUAUUUGGUCGUUUGGGUGCGUCCUUCUGGAAUUGUUAACACUGCAACUUCCUUACUCAGAGUCAUCCGAGUUAGAUAUCCA
rnacentral:misc_RNA from 1 species